rnacentral:rRNA from 1 species
CGACCGGCGCACGGGUGCGUAACGCGUAUAGAACCUACCUUAUAUUGGGGGAUAGCCCAGAGAAAUUUGGAUUAAUACCCCAUAGUAUUGAAUUAUGGCAUCGUAAUUUGAUUAAAGAUUUAUCGAUAUAAGAUGGCUAUGCGUUCUAUUAGCUAGUUGGUAUGGUAACGGCAUACCAAGGCGACGAUAGAUAGGGGUCCUGAGAGGGAGAUCCCCCACACUGGUACUGAGACACGGACCAGACUCCUACGGGAGGCAGCAGUGAGGAAUAUUGGUCAAUGGAGGCAACUCUGAACCAGCCAUGCCGCGUGCAGGAAGACUGCCCUAUGGGUUGUAAACUGCUUUUGUAUAGGAAGAAACCGCCCUACGAGUAGGGUUCUGACGGUACUAUACGAAUAAGGAUCGGCUAACUCCGUGCCAGCAGCCGCGGUAAUACGGAGGAUCCAAGCGUUAUCCGGAAUCAUUGGGUUUAAAGGGUCCGUAGGCGGGCUGAUAAGUCAGGGGUGAAAGUUUGCGGCUCAACCGUAAAAUUGCCUUUGAUACUGUUUGCCUUGAAUUAUUGUGAAGUGGUUAGAAUGUGUAGUGUAGCGGUGAAAUGCAUAGAUAUUACACAGAAUACCGAUUGCGAAGGCAGAUCACUAACAAUUGAUUGACGCUAAGGGACGAAAGCGUGGGCAGCGAACAGGAUUAGAUACCCUGGUAGUCCACGCCGUAAACGAUGGUCACUAGCUGUUCGGCAUUUAUGUUGAGUGGCUAAGCGAAAGUGAUAAGUGACCCACCUGGGGAGUACGUUCGCAAGAAUGAAACUCAAAGGAAUUGACGGGGGCCCGCACAAGCGGUGGAGCAUGUGGUUUAAUUCGAUGAUACGCGAGGAACCUUACCAGGGCUUAAAUGCAGUCUGACAGCUGUAGAGAU